GCAUAUCAAUAAGCGGAGGAAAAGAAACCAACAGGGAUUGCCUCAGUAACUGCGAGUGAAGCGGCRRAAGCUCMMMUUUGAAMUCUGGCGYCUUCGGCGUCCGAGUUGUAAUUUGGAGAGGCAUCUUCGGAUAUGGCGCCGUCCUAAGUUCCUUGGAACAGGACGUCACAGAGGGUGAGAAUCCCGUGCCUGGUCGGCUGUCCAUAUCCAUGUGAAGUGUCUUCGACGAGUCGAGUUGUUUGGGAAUGCAGCUCAAAAUGGGUGGUAAAUUUCAUCUAAAGCUAAAUAUUGGCGAGAGACCGAUAGCGCACAAGUAGAGUGAUCGAAAGAUGAAAAGAACUUUGAAAAGAGAGUUAAAAAGUACGUGAAAUUGUUGAAAGGGAAGCGCUUGAGACACCACUCGAUCUUUGGUGAUCAGCCGGGCUUCUGUCUGGUGCACUUGCCAUUGAUUGGGCCAGCAUCGGUUCUGACGGUGGGAUAAAAGGCAGAGGAAUGUGGCUCUCUUCGGGGAGUGUUAUAGCCUCUGUCAUAAUGCCGCCAGUUGGGACCGAGGACCGCGCUUCGGCUAGGAUGCUGGCAUAAAGGUCUUAAGCGACCCGUCUUGAAACACGGACCAAGGAGUCUAACAUCUAUGCGAGUGUUCGGGUGGAAAACCCUUGCGCGUAAUGAAAGUGAACGGAGGUGGGAACUCUUCGGAGUGCACCAUCGACCGAUCCUGAUGUUUUCGGAAGGAUUUGAGUAAGAGCAUAGCUGUUGGGACCCGAAAGAUGGUGAACUAUGCCUGAAUAGGGUGAAGCCAGAGGAAACUCUGGUGGAGGCUCGCAGCGGUUCUGACGUGCAAAUCGAUCGUCAAAUUUGGGUAUAGGGGCGAAAGACUAAUCGAACCAUCUAGUAGCUGGUUCCUGCCGAAGUU
rnacentral:rRNA from 1 species